rnacentral:lncRNA from 1 species
CCCAAUUAAUUUGCUAAAAAUUACCUAACAAAUAGAUGUAAAAAUAAUACCAUGAACAUCUUCAUUUAUUGGGAAGAGGAUGGACAGGAUGGAGCUGAGACAAGUUAGGGGUUGGCCAUAAUCCAAAUUUUGAAAUAAGACAAUGAUUUCUAAAGUUGGCUGCUGAUUAAAAUCAUUCAAGUGACUUGAAAAAAUAUCCAAGAGAUUUCCCUUGGAGAUCCUGACUGAAUAUGCAUGACUGAGGAAUCUACAUUUUUAACAAGCAUCCAAAGGGACUAGGAUAAUCAGGUGGAGAAGAAUUAACUUAGUCCUCACAGACUCUGUUGGAAUAAGAACCCUGGGAAGAAAGUCUCCUGAUCUCUGAUGCCUAACAC